GGGAAUAUUGGUCAAUGGAUGCAAGUCUGAACCAGCCAUGCCGCGUGCAGGAAGAAGGCCCUAUGGGUUGUAAACUGCUUUUGCCAGGGGAUAAAAUUUCCUUGCGAGGAAAAUUGAAGGUACCUGGUGAAUAAGCCACGGCUAACUACGUGCCAGCAGCCGCGGUAAUACGUAGGUGGCAAGCGUUGUCCGGAUUUAUUGGGUUUAAAGGGUGCGUAGGCGGUCUUAUAAGUCAGUGCUGAAAUAUCCCGGCUUAACCGGGAGGGUGGCAUUGAUACUGUAGGACUUGAGUAAAGUUGAGGUUGGCGGAAUUGACGGUGUAGCGGUGAAAUGCUUAGAUAUCGUCAAGAACACCGAUAGUGAAGACAGCUAACUAAGCUUUAACUGACGCUGAGGCACGAAAGUGUGGGGAUCAAACA
rnacentral:rRNA from 1 species